AGGAGCCGUGUAACGAGCGAUCGUUCCGCACGGUUCUGUGAGAGCCGAGGGGUGAGAUUCCCCUCGGCUACUCGGC
rnacentral:ncRNA from 1 species